CCUACGGGUGGCAGCAGUGGGGAAUAUUGGACAAUGGGGGCAACCCUGACCCAGCCAUGCCGCGUGUGUGAAGAAGGCCCUCGGGUUGUAAAGCACUUUCAGUGAGGAAGAACGCCUGGUGGUUAAUACCCAUCAGGAAAGACAUCACUCACAGAAGAAGCACCGGCUAACUCCGUGCCAGCAGCCGCGGUAAUACGGAGGGUGCGAGCGUUAAUCGGAAUUACUGGGCGUAAAGCGCGCGUAGGUGGCUUGAUAAGCCGGUUGUGAAAGCCCCGGGCUCAACCUGGGAACGGCAUCCGGAACUGUCAAGCUAGAGUGCAGGAGGGGAAGGUAGAAUUCCCGGUGUAGCGGUGAAAUGCGUAGAGAUCGGGAGGAAUACCGGUGGCGAAGGCGGCCUUCUGGACUGAAACUGACGCUGAGGUGCGAAAGCGUGGGUAGCAAACAGGAUUAGAUCCCCUUGUAGUC
rnacentral:rRNA from 1 species